UAAAAAGCCAGGUUGGUUCUCUCUCAUGAGCCCCCUCACCAUGUGAUGUCCCAAGCUGCCUUGGGACUCUGCAGAGGGUCCCCAUAAGAGGAAGGCCCCGACUAGAUGGAAUCCUUUGUCCCUGGACUUCUCAGCCUCCAGAACUAAACCUGCAAAGGACACAGGCCCUCUUGGUGGUCUCCUCCUGGAUGCCUUGCUUUCUCCUGGAAGAGUCCUCCCUUCCACCCCGGAUAUCACUGUGAACCUGAUUCCCCAGGAUCAACCAUCUGAGCAGAUACCUUGGAAUGUCCCCAGAUUUCAGAGCCUCGGACCAGCAGCAACACACUCUGAAGUAGGUCUCAGAAGACAAAAAGCUGAAAUCAACUCAUGCUUCCUGCUACACAGAAUCCACUGAGAGGAAAAGGAAACUUCACCGAAACUUCAGAAAGCUACAGAAAUGACAUCCAUUUUCACAAUCCCAGAAGGAAAGAUGCAUCUGAAGGGAAUAAAAACAGAGCAAUGGAAGAGUAUUUGUUAAAAUAAAUGGCUUUGACAGGGCAUUUUCUCUAAA
rnacentral:lncRNA from 1 species